rnacentral:miRNA from 1 species
UUACAGGCUAUGCUAAUCUAU